rnacentral:rRNA from 1 species
GAUGAACGCUAGCUACAGGCUUAACACAUGCAAGUCGAGGGGAAACGGCAUUUAGUGCUUGCACCGAAUGGACGUCGACCGGCGCACGGGUGAGUAACGCGUAUCCAACCUUCCCAUAACUAAGGAAUAACCUGCCGAAAGGCAGACUAAUACCUUAUGUAAUCCUUUGAUGGCAUCAGAUUAGGAUAAAAGAUUUAUCGGUUAUGGAUGGGGAUGCGUCUGAUUAGCUUGUUGGCGGGGUAACGGCCCACCAAGGCAACGAUCAGUAGGGGUUCUGAGAGGAAGGUCCCCCACAUUGGAACUGAGACACGGUCCAAACUCCUACGGGAGGCAGCAGUGAGGAAUAUUGGUCAAUGGACGGAAGUCUGAACCAGCCAAGUAGCGUGCAGGAAGACGGCCCUAUGGGUUGUAAACUGCUUUUGUAUGGGGAUAAAGUCAAUCACGUGUGAUUGUUUGCAGGUACCAUACGAAUAAGGACCGGCUAAUUCCGUGCCAGCAGCCGCGGUAAUACGGAAGGUUCGGGCGUUAUCCGGAUUUAUUGGGUUUAAAGGGAGCGUAGGCCGGAGAUUAAGUGUGUUGUGAAAUGUAGACGCUCAACGUCUGACUUGCAGCGCAUACUGGUUUCCUUGAGUACGCACAACGUUGGCGGAAUUCGUCGUGUAGCGGUGAAAUGCUUAGAUAUGACGAAGAACUCCGAUUGCGAAGGCAGCUGACGGGAGCGCAACUGACGCUGAAGCUCGAAGGUGCGGGUAUCGAACAGG